UAGGAACAGGAUUUGUUCGAGAAUGAACGAGAAGUUUCACUAAUCUUUGGUAGCUUCAGUGUGCUCUAAAAUUCUAGCACGUUCCUGUAACGAUUCUAGUUGGACGUUACACUGAUUGGCUGAUAUUCAACAAUUUCAAUUACCAACCGUCGUGUCUCAGUGUAAUCAGUGUCGCUUUUCCCUAGAAACGUUGGAUACGUACCUACACACUGAUACUUUAUAAAAUUUCCCUAGGAGCAAUCGAAUUACGUUACAAUCAAAUUUAUCGUUAUAAAACGUCCACCUUUCGCUUCAUUCAAAAGGAGAGGCAUCGUUUUAAUUCCCCUUUGACAAAUUAUUACUUUGAUGCGUAAUUAUGGAUAAAGGGAAGAUCCUAAUUUUUAAUUUAUAUUUUAUUUUAUAAUAAAAAGAAUUAUAAUAAAAAAUUUUACCUUGUUACUUUAUGUUAAAAUAAUUUUAUUUUCUAUUUCAGUUCCAAACUCUUGAACGAUAUAUCCUAACUCAAGCCUAAACAAAAAGUAUCAUAUUCAUCAGGUUUUAUAUAUUACGCGAUAUCAGUAUGUUUUAUGAGAUAAAUAGUAAAGAAAAUUCUUUGCAUAAAUAUAGACUCGUAAGCGCUUUGUUAAAAAGUUAACUUCAAUGAUGGACAGGUCAAGGCAUGCCACUUCUUUAACAGUCAAGAUGAUUAGAUAAUAUACUAAUCGAUUUUCAUUUGCAAGAAAAUUGAAAAGAACACUUUUAUAUUAUAAUUUUUUACAUGAAAUAUAAAAACUAAUUAUCGUCAUAAAUAAUUUUAAAUAAUACAAAUAUUUAAUAAUAAUCAAUCCCAUAAAUUAAUACAUAUUUAUAAUAUUUCUUUCGUUACAAAAGUUGCUUACUAUUUACAAAAAUUUUAAAUCGUUCACAAUUAUCGUCUCUCGAUACCACGAAAAUUUGCACACUCUGUAGAAAAGUAAUAAUGUACAAAUAUUUGGUCGUGAUACAAUCUCGUUCGUUCGAUGCCAGUUAAUUAUCCGGAAUUACGUAACGCGGGAAAUUCCGGCCUGAUACCAGGACGAAUUUCAGGGCAUUUGCUAAAACCAGACAGCCGAGGACGAGGAAAAUAAUCGGAUUAUACGGACAAGCACGCUUUAGAGUGACCGUUUAAUCCAGUCGUUACAGUGUAUCACCGAUACACAUCGUAUAGACGAGAAAACGUGUACCUCGAAAUCGCCACUCUUACCGCUUUGAAGUGAGCUGAUUACCAGCCAUAUCCAUUCUCGAGCAUCGAUCGCGAUAUCUCGCGGUAUCGACGUGAACUAAUUUCGCCACAAUUAGAUCGUCGUUGUAACGCGGUGGCUGCGGUCUGUAUUUAUGCGAGGACAUUUCGGGCACGAUUUAAUCGCAAAUCGAAAGUGUCGUGUAAACUGAAUAUCUGUUUGGAUUUGUUGCGUUAGACUCGACAGGGAUUUUUGAAUAUUUUGGAUUUUUAAAAAUUUCGAAACAAUUAUUGGAUUUUCCUUUUUUUUUUUUUUUUUUAGAACGUAUUUAAAAAAAUGUGGUAUAAUUGAGAAAGAAUAUAUCGACUAUUUUUAUCGAUUACGCCAAAAGAAAGUCGAAGAGAACUCUAUCUAAAUAAAAUCUCGAUAUAUCAGGUUAAGUUAGAUAGAUUUUUCCUUAUGAAUUCUUCUGACAACCCUGGUCAUCACUGUAUUCCCUAGACAGCCAUUUUCCCCUAUUUCCAGCAAUCUCACAUCCUCCCCCGAGAUAACUAUGGAAUAGAGUAUAAUGAUAACCUUACACGUCUAUCCGAAUGCAAUCUCGCGAGCAUAUCGGAAUGAGCAACAAUCGCUCGAUCAACACCUGUGCUGGUAUCAGGUGUUAUCAUCGAUUCACACGUGAUACGCGUAUCUUGAAUCAUCCAUCCAAGCUGAUUGCUCACCGGCCUUCGUUCAAGCGACGAUCGAUCAAAGAGCAAGAAGCUAGGAUAAUACGAAUUUUCCUUCGCAUCGAUCGGAAUAGCAAUUAGCAUAGUGUGUGCCUACUUUAUCGACCGUGCGUUCGAUGGCGUGCACACGGUUAUUAGCACGGUUGUCGUUCGCUGAAUGGAUAUCAAUCACUCUAAUGGGGAUUCGCGCGUGUAAAGCAUGACGUGCAAUCAGAUCACAUCAUUUAUCCAAGAUGGCUCAAAGAGGUUAGGUCGUGGCUUCGUGCAACGGGAUAGUUGCGCUCGAGUUUCCAAGAAACGAUGGAGGAUGAUUCGAGAGAUCCCGUGCUGAUGAAUUUUCGAACAAUUUCAUCUUAUUGGGUUGAUAUAAUGCACAGACUUGAAUAAGAGGAACUUUGUGCCGAGCAGCUCUUUGGGCUGAUUUUAAUCAGAUUAAUUAAAAGGAAUGGCCAAUAACAGAGCGAUUCUUUCUUCCGUGAAGUCUCCAAGCAUCGGGUUCCUUUCGUUUUAUACGACGCGACCUCGACGAAUCGAGGCCGGUGCACAUUUUUCUCGGGUCAAAGUUAAUUCUCUUAAUAAUUUUCGACCGCCUUCCCUUAUUUUCCUUUUUUUUUUUUCGUGCCUCCUUUUUGAAAUUGCUUCCGCUCGAUGACCGUUCUUCGGGGAACAAGUUUACUCGAUUAACCGAAAGAACCCUUUAGCCGGUGAGCCACUGUGAAAACAAAAGCACGUGGAAUAAAGACGAAACGAGACGAGAAGCGGAAUUAUUUCGUGAAAUUUGGCGAACGAAGAAAGGAACGUUUUAUUGAUUCAAGGAGUAUAAACCUUUUCAGAAUGGAAUGAAAAGUCUUGGAAAAUAUUCGUUUCGACGUUUUGUCAUGAGAGUGUACGAAAAAUUGAAGGUGCAGAGCGAACGGUUAAAUUUAAGGAAUGGCAGCGAGCAAUAAAUCUCUAUUGAAUUCUAAUUAGAUAUCAUCGUGUGAUUAAUUUUUAAUUUUUACUAUUUCCUUCACUUUCCUGUCACUUACUGGAAUCUCUCGCUCGCCACCAAACUUCAGACAAGUGAUUUCUAGGGGAAAAAUGAAACGUUACUAGACGUUCUCUGCCUUGAGAUGAGCGUCAUGGACACUUUGAUUGCUUGUAUCUCAGCAAUCGAUUGAGGUAUCGAUACGAAUCAAAAAGUGACUUCAAUGCCAUCGUUUCCUGAUAUUUUGAUCGAUGACAAUAUUUUUUAGUUUAUUCUUUUUACACGACAGUUAUUUAAGUGUAGUUUUAUGCGAUUGCAAUGAUUUGUUGUAAGAUACGUAGAGAUUUAAAUUUAUUUAAUUCCACGUUUAUAUAGUAUAAAUAAUGAUAAAUACGAUAAAUUGUUAUGUGUUGUUGGAUUUAAGCUUCGUUGUCUUCCUCUCGUUGCACGAUUGAUUUAUAUUUUUUAUUUGAGAUUCUUUGCAUUCCAUCAUACUAUCACACGAAUAUCUUUCACUCACUGUGAUGAAAUAUCGAAAUAUCUGUCGGUGAUAAAUCUAAAAUUCCUUUCAUCGAGCAUGUGAUACGAAUUUUAGCAAAAGUAUGUAAAGAAGAAAAUAAAAAAUUUUAACAAAUUUUAACAAAUUCACAGAAUCUAAUUCUACUACAUUUUGUAUUAAUUUUAUUGCACACAAUUUAUCGUUUUCUUUUUUUAAAUUCGUGAAUAUUUUUAGAGACCAGCCAACGAUGUAGAAAUAAAUAUAUCGAACACGCGGUGAACCAAGUAUUGUAUUUCGACGAAAAAUAUUUUACAGUUGGUAAAAUAGAAACUGUGCGUUUGAAAGAUAAUCCCGAUUUCGAACGAUCAAACAUAAUCCUCUGAAGGCAAGACGAUAAUUUAUUAUUACCAAUACAACAUCGGGAUAAGCAAUAACUCUAUUUUAUUUUUAGUUGAGAAAUUCGAAUAAAAUUGCUUUUCUAAAUGCCCUGUUGAAUCGAAACUAUUUGAAUGAUAUUUAUACACCUUUCGAAAAAUUUUAUUCUAUAUUUUUCGAAAUAUUUAUAUAUAUAUCUUAAAA
rnacentral:lncRNA from 1 species